AGCAGCCGCGGUAAUUCCAGCUCCAAUAGCGUAUAUUAAAGUUGUUGCAGUUAAGAAGCUCGUAGUUGAAUUUCGGGAUCAGUAGGUUGGUCGUGCCAACGGUAUGCACUGGCCUCACUGGUUCCUCCUUCUUGUAGAACCGUAAUGCCAUUAAGUUGGUGUUGCGGGGAAACAGGACUGUUACUUUGAAAAAAUUAGAGUGUUUAAAGCAGGCUAACGCUUGAAUACAUUAGCAUGGAAUAAUGAAAUAGGACGAUCGAUCUUAUUUUGUUGGUUUCUGAAUCACCGUAAUGAUUAAUAGGGAUAGUUGGGGGCAUUAGUAUUCAAUUGUCAGAGGUGAAAUUCUUGGAUUUAU
rnacentral:rRNA from 1 species